CAACCAGGAGAGUUGAGUGAAAGCGCCAUCUGGUGGGAAAAAAGCUGAACUUUCUACAACCGACUCAUUGGAUUUCUGUUUGCUUUAUUCCCUGAAUGCAUUCUUACGCUCAUCAAUUGAAGACGGAAUUUUAAUCCGACUUUCUAAACCUCUAAACCAGGGUUGUCCAACAUGCCGCGGACGGGCCAUCUGCAGCUCUCCGGCGGAUUUAAAUUCUAGAAUCAGGAACCUUUUUCUUCACUCAGGAUCCGUCAGAAGCAAGACCCAUUCCGGUAUGGAAAGCCUCCAGGCGCUCACCCCAAGGAGCUGAGCUGGUGCUGCUCCCAGGGCGUCAUGGAGACCAGAGAGUGGUCCGCGGCCGAGCCGAAGUCCGUCAUGUCGGCGCUGUUCAGGGAGUAAUCUGGGCAACAGAGAGACGGGAUGCGUUCAGCGACAGCUCUCAAUGAGAGUCGGAGUGAAAACAGAAGCAUUCCUACUGUCUGGAAUCCUCAUUUUUGUCACGUUACAACCACAAACCUCAAUGUGUUUUGUUGGUGAUUUAUGUGUAAGAUGUUAAGUGGAAGGAAGGUGAUAGGAUGCCGUCUAAAUGUUUGACAAAUACAAACUGUCAUAA